GGGACCGUGGGGUAGCCUGGUAUCCUACCAGCUUGGGGUGUUGGUAACCUGAGUUCAAAUCUCAGCGGUCCCA
rnacentral:tRNA from 1 species